GAGAGGAAUUUUUGUCUCCCGCGCCGUACGCUUUGGCGCUUAAAAUUCUUUUUUUCUGGUUUUAUGUUCUAAACAUCUAAGAUUACGAGGAAGGACUGCUGUAGUGGUGAUUCAAAACCAACUCCCUGGAUACACGAACAGACAUCACAAGCAAACCACCAUAGUUCACAUGAUCAGUCUAUUAACCAACCAAUCAACAUGAAGUGAUGGUGUGGACAAGUUUUCUUGAACAUUCUAGAAUUUGACUUCUGGUCUCCUAUAAAACUGUUCAGUACACAUUUUCACCAGUCAGAUGACACAGAAAAAUGAAAGAAACCUCCAUCACCACAAAUAUAGCACAAUUGUUUCCAGUUAUGCUUGGCAAGCAACAUGUUGCUGUAUCAGUAGCUUGCCAUAAACUCCAAGCAGUAUCUCACUCUCAGUAUGUAAUUAUUGCUGUAAAAGGGCAAUGUAGUUUGUCUUUAUGUGUGAUAAUAAAAUCUUGUUAAAUGUU